CGCUCGUCCCUCCUCCUCCUCUACGCCUCCUCCACCCAAUCCCUAACCCUAGCAGCUCCCGACGCCGCUGCCAUCUCCUUCGCCCAGCCCGACGGACCGUCGCCGUCCACUUCCCCGGCGUCGUCACCGUCGUCCUCGCGUGCACAUGGCAAGAGGAGCGCCCCCACCCUCUCCUCUCCUCCCCUCAUCACGAGCCAGGACAAGGAGGGCCACCGUGGCCGAGCAGGUCAGGCGGUGCGUCCAGAUCGCCAAGGAGCCGCCCGCAAGGUCAUCCAUGGCGCGACUAAACAGAGCAGCUGAGGAGGGAGACGCUGGUUCCUCUUUCCCGUUGCUUAUCCAGGUCUAUUUAUCGUGAUUCGUAGGGAUCUGGCUAGGUUCGCUAAUUUUAUCCUCAGCAUGGUCCGGUUGCUGCGGAUUGGUGAGCUAUAGAAGGUACCUCGUGUUCCUCCCGUACCAGUGGAUUUGAUCUCCCCCGAAUCUUUUUGCGUUUGGAUCCUUUUGCAUCUCCUGUUACUCUUUUGGUUUCUUCUUCUUGCCUCUUCUGUUUCUUUGGAUGUUUCUUGGGCUAUUUUGGCUGCUUGCUGGGCGUUCAUUUUCUUCUUUUGCUUCUUUCAUUUUUAUGUGCUUCCUCUUCACCUGAUGACAUUGUACCGUUUAUGUGCUGCCUAAUUUGUUUUGCAGGUACUAUGCUUGUCGUGGAUUGCUGCCUCACGUGUGCGCGGAGCACAUCUUGGGUGUUCAGAACUCCCUACUCUCAUUUGGUGCAGCCCAGUAUGUAGUGUCAGUGAUUGCAAUGCCCCCAGGAAUAUCAAACCGUAUAUAUAGUCAAUGCUUGCAUCGCCUCUAGGGAUAUCCCAAGAUAUAUUUAGCUAUCCAUUGCAGCUAAAUCUCUGAAGCUAUAUAUGUGCCUUUUCGUAUGUCAUCUUCAGCUGCCUGUUGUUCACAUGGUUUAACUGGAUGCAUUUUUCUCUUCAUCAUUUCCACUGUAUGCUGGUUUUCUAGAAGUUGAUACCCAGCUUCUUCGGACAAGUACUUGACUGUUCUUUCAGUUCUUCCCAUGCCCAAGUACAGUCUGAACAAGUAACCGCCGACGCCGAGGCCAUCCACCACGUGGAGGACCUCUUGGGCACUUCCGCCGCGUUGUGGGUUGAGCUUCCGCAGCCCACUGCCUGCUGGAUGCUUCUUCCCUUUAUCCUUGGUGUGCAAGACAUGUUCUUUCUAAAGUGAUGCCCACCAAUGUAUUUGAUACUUCGACUUUGACAUGAUCUCCCCCUUUUAUCCAGUUUGAGGUAUCGAAGAAAUUUUAUCUUGAGCAAAGAGACCUUUCUUCCUUAUUAGGUCGCUUUAGAGGGUUAGUAGUACGGGAGUUCCUACCAAAACUGACUUAUGGAAGUUAUGCUAGCUCCAUCAGUUGGGCUUUCUGUACAAAACUAGACUCAAGAUAAUUUAUUUUGGUGCUUGCAAUAAGUAUUAGACAGAGGGGUGAUGCACACAUACUUCAUCCAGUCUAUCGUUCAUGUAUGUUAAUUAACUAAUUAGACAAAAAUAACUCUGUCUGUAUGGUGUUUCUGAUGAUGCUAUCAAUUUACUAACACUAAAAUAUUGGGUUGGGAUUUUCAAAUCUAGCUAAUUACUUUUCUUUAUUGCUUCUUUUUUCCAGACAGAAGUAUUAUAUCUAUUCUCUGUCUAAAACUUAUAUAAG